CCUACGGGUGGCAGCAGUGGGGAAUAUUGGACAAUGGGCGAAAGCCUGAUCCAGCCAUGCCGCGUGUGUGAAGAAGGCCUUCGGGUUGUAAAGCACUUUCAGUGGGGAAGAAAGCCUUGGGGCGAAUACCCUCGAGGAACGACAUCACCCACAGAAGAAGCACCGGCUAACUCCGUGCCAGCAGCCGCGGUAAUACGGAGGGUGCGAGCGUUAAUCGGAAUUACUGGGCGUAAAGCGCGCGUAGGCGGUCUGAUAAGCCGGUUGUGAAAGCCCCGGGCUCAACCUGGGAACGGCAUCCGGAACUGUCAGGCUAGAGUGCAGGAGAGGAAGGUAGAAUUCCCGGUGUAGCGGUGAAAUGCGUAGAGAUCGGGAGGAAUACCAGUGGCGAAGGCGGCCUUCUGGACUGACACUGACGCUGAGGUGCGAAAGCGUGGGUAGCAAACAGGAUUAGAUACCCGUGUAGUC
rnacentral:rRNA from 1 species